UACAGAGGUCUCAAGCGUUGUUCGGAUUCACUGGGCGUAAAGGGUGCGUAGGUGGCUUGGUAAGUUUGAUGUGAAAUCUCCGGGCUUAACCCGGAAAUGGCAUUGAAUACUACUGAGCUGGAGGUUUGGAGGGGGGACUGGAAUUCUCGGUGUAGCAGUGAAAUGCGUAGAUAUCGAGAGGAACACCAGUGGCGAAGGCGAGUCCCUGGACAACACCUGACACUGAGGCACGAAAGCUAGGGGAGCAAACAGG
rnacentral:rRNA from 1 species